rnacentral:rRNA from 1 species
UACAGAGGGGGCAAGCGUUGUUCGGAAUUACUGGGCGUAAAGGGCGCGUAGGCGGCCUGUUAAGUCGAACGUGAAAUCCCCGGGCUCAACCCGGGAACUGCGUCCGAUACUGGCAGGCUUGAAUCCGGGGGAGGGAUGCGGAAUUCCAGGUGUAGCGGUGAAAUGCGUAGAUAUCUGGAGGAACACCGGUGGCGAAGGCGGCAUCCUGGACCGGCAUUGACGCUGAGGCGCGAAAGCCAGGGGAGCAAACGGGG